CUGACGGCCACUUGGAGCUGCACGAGGGACGGCUGAGGGCCGCCGGCGGACCGCGGAGACAGGCGCGCGGCCGGCCACGCCCGGCAGAUGGCGCUGCUCCUCCAGGGACCUUCCCCGCUGCCAGGCGGCCGCGCCCAGCAGGUGGCGCCGGGCGGCGGCUGAGGAGAGAAGUGAGCGGGUCUGCGGCCUGCGACUGAGGCGCGGGAUCCCGCGGUCGGGCCGGACGGCAGGGACCGCCCACCCAGCCUCCUCCUCGCUUUUACUCCUUCAGUCACGUCGGCAAACAGCACUCGAGACCGUGCUUUCCGGUCGCCGGUUUCCCGCGGCCUCGUGAAAAAGGAUCUUCAGGGUCUUGAAAUUCCCGCCAGAGCGCGAAGGCCGAACAGUUCGUCCUCGCACCACGACUUUGACACUCCUCCCACCGAGGGGGCCGAAUGGGUUCUCCCGCCUUCAGUCCGCGUCGGGACGUUGCUUGUGAGUGCUCCAACAAGAAGGACAAGAGAAGUUUCUCUGACUCUCCGGGCUGGGUGAUAGAAAGGCUACUGCGCCAUAUCCUUUUUGUAGGAGCUGGGGUUAGAAUACUUGCUCUGGGGAAGCCGGCUCCCAUGCUCUGGGGGGGCCCAAAUUCACUCACGUGGAGAGACCAGGAUGAGAGGCGCUAGGGUCCCAAACUGACGGCCAGCCUCAGGCUUCAGACACAGGAAUAAACCAGGCCUCAGACUGCUUCCGGCUGUCAAGUCUUCCUGCUGAGACCCGGACCUCGCGGAGCAGCAGCGAGCUUUCUGGGCCAUGCCCUGUCUGAAUUUCUGACCCCUGGCCUCUGCAAAUGUAGUGAUUUUAUGCUGCUGCAUUUUCUGGUGACUUGUUCAACAGCCCCAGUAAUUGGAACAGUCACCCAGUGAAUUAAAUGGUGCCAAGCAGGGGACAGACCUUUCCUCCCCUUCAGUAUAGCUGGGCUGGGAAAGGACUGUGCCCAAGCAGCAGUUUGAGCGUGGAGAUGACCUCAUUCCUCACCCCUCCCUCCCUCCUGACAGUGGCAUCUCUUGUUCUGCUAGACUUUGCAAGUGUCCCCCUCUUCCCAAACACCCAGGCCCGGAACCACAGGGUGUCUGAUUUUUUCCUUUCCCUUGACCCUCCUGACAGAGACAACACGUGAUGCCCAUUAUUUUUUCCCUGGUGCUCACACAAAUUUGUUCCUUCCUUCCCAUCCCUAACGAUGAUCAGUAUGAUAGGAGAGUCCCCUGUGGUUUGAGACCACUGUCUCCUACCAGGGAAAGCAAAAGAGAGACCCUGCGAGCAGGAUGGGGAGGAGCAGAAGGAGAGAGAAUCUUCUGCAGGCCUGGAACGAUGCGAUGCGAGGCUCCAUCUCCCUGCCCUGCGAUCAUGACCUGAUUCAAAACCAAAUUAGAUGCUUAACCAACUGAGCCACCCAGCCACCCGGAGCAGCUCAUAUGAUGAUGGUUCUUCACGGAUUCUUCAUUACUCCGCUUCAAAGGAAUGACAGUGACCAAAGAAGUUUUAAAAACGUCAUGUGAGGGACGCCUGGGUGGCUCAGUUGGUUAAGCAGCUGCCUUCGGCUCAGGUCAUGAUCCCAGCAUCCUGGGAUCGAGUCCCACAUCAGGCUCCUUGCUCCGCAGGGAGCCUGCUUCUCCCUCUGACUCUGCCUUCCACUCUGUCUGCCUGUGCUCGCUCUCGCUCUCUCUCGCUCUCUCUUUGACAAAUAAAUAAAUAAAAUCUUUAAAAAAAAAAAAAAAGUCAUGUGAACCCGGACAGUCGUAGGCUGUUCACAGAAAUGUUCCUCCCUUCUGGGCACACAGUGGGAGCGUGGCUCUCAGAUAAGACUGUGCAAUGUGUCCUGCCCAAUGAAAUGCAAGCUACAUGAUGUUUGUCACUUCCUAAUGAUGAAGUUCUAGAACCUAGGUGAGGUUCGGUGGGCUGA